rnacentral:lncRNA from 1 species
UUGUUGGAUUAACAGAAUAAAGAAUUUUUUGGAGUAGGUUAUUCUGUAACUUUUGUGUGGGUAGAUCCAGUUUCUUUUAAAUAACUUUAUGCAUAAAUCAGGGAACUGUAUACCUUAAUCCAGAGGGAUGCCGUGAGGAAUCUCACCUCACAGAAGUGGAAAUGAGUGGCUUGGAGAGGACUGUUGGGUUUGUGGUGUCCCUCCUGAUUAUGCUGGUGGCUGUAUUAAAGCACAGAUUGUAACAGUGAAGUCUGUUAACUGGCUUUGUAAAGUCCCACUUUGUUGUCCUAGUGGGACAACAAAGACGUUCUAGAAUUCAGUGCAGUCUUUCAGGAGUUAUUUCAGUGUAUUAUAGGUAGGAGAAAGCUAGAGAGAUCCACUUGUAAGGAACAAAUGGUCGUGUGGGAAGGUUUGCUCCCCACAAGGCAGAGCUCACAGGGCCCUGAAAACACAGAGGUGUGACAGGAGACAGGUGAUGCUUUAAGUGAGCCCUGCUGAAGAGGACUUCAUCUCUGCUGAAAUCUUUCCCCCAGUGUAGCAGUAUGGAGGUGUGUGGUGUAAGCGUAGCAUUUCUCUCUGCCCUCCCUCCUCGGGAAGUCCUGAGACAGUGCCAGGAUGGCAUGAGGUCACCUCACCCAGUUGCUCCAAGCUGUGUUUGCGGAACCACCAGUGCUACAUCCCGAUAGGAAGCCUGGAGGAUGUCAGUAAUUUUUCUUGACUUGGAGGAACGCUUUGAGGGAAGCCCGAGUGUUUCAUGCACAGGCCAAUCCCACGACCCCUGAGGAUGUCGGCACCGAUGGGAAUGCAUUGCAGCCCUCCCCAGCUGCAGUCCCCACAGGAGCACUCCCUGUGCACCUCAGAGGGUACAGGUGUGACCUUGCCCAUGAGAACUGGACCAGCACAUGGAUCCAUAGGCUGUGAGUUGCCACUGGGGACUGGAAGUACCACAACACAGAGAGAACAGGUAAUUUCAGUGUAAGAGUUAUGCAAAAAAACUGGGGGAAAGCAGUGUUUGUUUGAGAUUGAUCAGAACCAUCUUUUAUUUCAGUGUUUUCUGGAAGAG